CACAUGCCCAGUGGGCCCAGCAGACACCAUGACGGGGGCUUCCGAAUGGCAUCUUGGGCUGUAGUCUUCAGACGCAGACACAUCUUGUGUCCACAUUAACCAUCCUUGGGCCGUGUAUUUUCCUCCACUUUAGAGAUGUGGAGUGGAAAUGCCAGAAGAAGAUGUGGAAGUAGAUGAAAGCGGAGGAGAGAAGGCAGGAGGGGGUCCAGCUGGGAGGGUGAGGGGCCCAGCAUCUCCCUGCCAGCCCUCCUCACCCCCACCCCACCCCACCCAGCCCUCGCUGCUCAGGCCGGAGAAGAGCUCCAUCCCCAGGCUAGGGCAGAGUUUGCCUCUCCCUCUGUAAGCCGAGGAUGCAGAGGGAAGGUCCGCAGACACCCGGGAGCUGCUGCGCCCCAGCCCCGCAGCGAUGGGAAGGGGGGACUGAAGGUUUAUCCACCCAUCCCCACCCUCAGGGCCACCCCUGCCCCGUCUCCCCGCCCCCCUGCGCCCUACAUUUUUCUCCCAGCGCUGCCUCUCUCCCCACCUCGCGUCCCUCCAAAUAAGGAAGCCGGAGCCGGAGGAGCGGUCGGACGGGGAUGCGGGUGGUCUGGUCCCCUCCCCGAGGCGGGAUCCCGCUGCCCGCGCGGCCGGGAGGGAGGGGCGCAGCUAGAAGCGGCCUCGCGGGCCAAGGUCAGGGUCGGAGGCCCGCGGCGGGCCCGGCGCUAGAGCCCAGCCCAGGUGAGAAGGGCCCGCGGGCCGCCCAGAACCUGGCCAGCCCCGCGCUGGCGACGGCGGGACGUGAAGGAUGACGUGGCGGCGCGAGGAAGCGCCACAUCCUCGGGCCCAGACUUCCCGCUGCCAGGAUCCGACCCAAAGAAAAUAACGCAGACCGAGGAGAGAUGUCCGGAAGCAGUCCCCGCGGCAAAAGGGAAACGGUUUAAUACAUCUGGGUACAUCA